AUUAUUAGGGUUUCCCGUACCUGGUUUUUCUAACUUGGCUUGCUCGCUUCUCGGUGGUGGAAUAGGAUUAUUAGGGUUUCCCGUACCUGGUUUUUCUAACUUGGCUUGCUCAGGUGAACCAAGAUCAAAAUUUCUGUAUGGCGGAGGUGGUGAAGCUUGAUUACUUGGAUAGGGCUCUCUCUGUUUGUUAUUGAAUGGAAAAUUUCUAUAUGGUGGAAGUGGUGAAGCUUGAUUACUUGGAUAGGGCUCUCUCUGUUUGUUAUUGAAUGGAACAUUUCUAUAUGGCGGAGGUGGUGAAGCUUGAUUACUUGGAUAGGGCUCUCUCUGUUUGUUAUUGAAUGGAACGCGCGGCCCCUGGUUCGGUUUGCUAUAACGAUUUGUAUCCACAAUAGCCGGCUCUUCAUUCUUUGCCCUUUCCGUGUUUAGUUUCGGAUUUA
rnacentral:lncRNA from 1 species